AUUGAACGCUGGCGGCAGGCCUAACACAUGCAAGUCGAACGAGUGGCGGACGGGUGAGUAAUGUCUGGGAAACUGCCCGAUGGAGGGGGAUAACUACUGGAAACGGUAGCUAAUACCGCAUACUCUCGGAAGUGCCCAGAUGGGUUUAGCUAGUAGGUGGGGUAAGGGCUCACCUAGGCGGCGCUCCCUAGCUGGUCUGAGAGGAUGACCAGCCACACUGUAACGGAGACCCGGUCCAGACUCCUACGGGAGGCAGCAGUGGGGAAUAUUGCACAAUGGGCGCAAGCCUGAUGCAGCCAUGCCGCGUGUAUGAAGAAGGCCGUCGGGUUGUAAAGUACUUUCAGCGAGGAGGCGUUACUCGCAGAAGAAGCACCGGCUAACUCCGUGCCAGCAGCCGCGGUAAUAC
rnacentral:rRNA from 1 species